rnacentral:rRNA from 1 species
UACGGAGGGUGCGAGCGUUGUCCGGAAUCACUGGGCGUAAAGGGCGCGUAGGCGGCCUGGCAAGUCGGUGGUGAAAGCCCGUGGCUCAACUACGGGUCGGCCACCGAUACUGCUAUGGCUCGAGUUUGGUAGAGGCAGAUGGAAUUCCCGGUGUAGUGGUGAAAUGCGUAGAUAUUCGCAGGAACACCAGUGGCGAAGGCGGCUUACUGGUCCAUUACUGACGCUGAGGUGCGAAAGCGUGGGGAGCAAACAGG